rnacentral:lncRNA from 1 species
GUGACAUCACUUGCAUCUGCCUCAUCCAGUAAGGCAGGUUGUAUGGAGGGCUCAACCAGGCAAGGUCAGAUGCUUCCUCUGGACUUACAAUGAAAACUUUCUAUCCUGGAAGGAAACUUCUGAAGACAGGAUGUUUACAGGGAGGUGAAAUACUACAGGGAUUAUAGGGAUACAGGAAGCAAGCAACUCAAAAUAGCCUCAGGAAGUCCCUGAAACUGAUGGAGAUUCAGCAGGCCCCUCCCUCCCCAGUAGUAAGUAAAGGUAAUGACUGAUGGGAGUCACUCUCAGACAAGCCAAUCUGCAAAGAGCCACCAAGCAGCUUGGGAGAAGCAGAGACCAGCUGAGCUGCCUGGAAGAGACUCAGACCAACCGAGUCAUCUGGAAAGGACACUCUCCAGCCUUCGGAGCUGUGCAGUGUGCUCUAGAUCUCCAGCUUUUGUGAGAUGCCACCUAUGCUAGGGGUGGGCUUUCAUGUCAUAGCUGUCGUUGGGUCAUUUCCACUCCAGUACCCUUGGAACCCAAGAAAAGGAGUGAGAUUCCCUAGAGCUGGUGUUACAAGCACUCUGAGUCACCUGGCAUCAAUACUGGGAACAGAGCUAGGGUUCCCUAGAAGAGCCACAAAUACUUCUAACCACGGAGCCAUCUCUCCAGUCACCUGACAGAAGUCAGCACAUGUGUCCACAGAUGCCAGAAGGCAGCCUUGGAUCCACUGAAGCCGGAGUUACAGGCGGUAGUGAGGCCUCUGGCGUGGGUUUUGGGAACUGAACUCAGGUCCUCUGGAAGAGCAGCAGGCUCUCUAACCUCAGAGCCCUUUCUUCAGGCCCCAUGCUCAGCUUUGAUUUGAUGUGGGUGCUGGGG